AUUGAACGCUGGCGGCAUGCUUUACACAUGCAAGUCGAACGGUAACAGGGAGUUUGCUCCGCUGACGAUGGGCGAACGGUUGGGUAAUGCGCCGGAACGUGCCGAGUAGUGGGGGAUAACGCAUCGAAAGGGGUGCUAAUACCGCAUACAUACUGGGGUAGAAAGGGGGGGACCUUCGGGCCUAACGCUAUCCGAGCGGCCGACGUCGGAUUAGCUAGUUGGUGAGGUAAAGGCUCACCAAGGCGACGAUCAGUAGCGGGUCUGAGAGGAUGAUCCGCCACACUGGGACUGAGACACGGCCCAGACUCCUACGGGAGGCAGCAGUGGGGAAUUUUGGACAAUGGGCGCAAGCCUGAUCCAGCCAUGCCGCGUGUCUGAAGAAGGCCUUCGGGUUGUAAAGGACUUUUGUCCGGGAGCAAAUGCUGGUGGCUAACAUCCACCGGAGCUGAGAGUACCGGAAGAAUAAGCACCGGCUAACUACGUGCCAGCAGCCGCGGUAA
rnacentral:rRNA from 1 species